rnacentral:sRNA from 1 species
AAGGUUCCGAUGCCAUAGGUUUCGCAGUGCUUCGCAUUCGGCUAUGAAACUUUUGAGUGCGCCAGGGGUUUGGAGUUUUAGCACUUUCACAGCUAUAUCUUUACUUUCACCAGCUUGAUUAUUUAUUUCUCCUUUGUACACAGACCCAAAUGAUCCUGAUCCCAACAAAUUGGUUGCUGAGAAAUUAUCUGUUGCUCUUACCAGCUGGGAGUGAGAGAUCAAGGGAUGGCCUUCCAUGGAUGUGGUAGAUGGGAUGUUUGUUUUUAUAUUCUU